rnacentral:rRNA from 1 species
GCGCAUGCAGGUGGUUUGUUAAGUCAGAUGUGAAAGACCCGGGGCGUCAACCUCGGAAUAGCAUUUGAAACUAGGCAAACUAGAGUACUGUAGAGGGGGGUAGGAAUUUCAGGUGUAGCGGUGAAAUGCGUAGAGAUCUGAAGGAAUACCGGUGGCGAAGGCGGCCCCCUCGGACAGAUACUGACACUCAGAUGCGAAAGCGUGGGGAGCAAACAGGAUUAGAUACCCUGGUAG